rnacentral:rRNA from 1 species
UCAUGGCUCAGAUUGAACGCUGGCGGCAGGCCUAACACAUGCAAGUCGAGCGGAUGAAGGGAGCUUGCUCCUGGAUUCAGCGGCGGACGGGUGAGUAAUGCCUAGGAAUCUGCCUGGUAGUGGGGGAUAACGUCCGGAAACGGGCGCUAAUACCGCAUACGUCCUGAGGGAGAAAGUGGGGGAUCUUCGGACCUCACGCUAUCAGAUGAGCCUAGGUCGGAUUAGCUAGUUGGUGGGGUAAAGGCCUACCAAGGCGACGAUCCGUAACUGGUCUGAGAGGAUGAUCAGUCACACUGGAACUGAGACACGGUCCAGACUCCUACGGGAGGCAGCAGUGGGGAAUAUUGGACAAUGGGCGAAAGCCUGAUCCAGCCAUGCCGCGUGUGUGAAGAAGGUCUUCGGAUUGUAAAGCACUUUAAGUUGGGAGGAAGGGCAGUAAGUUAAUACCUUGCUGUUUUGACGUUACCAACAGAAUAAGCACCGGCUAACUUCGUGCCAGCAGCCGCGGUAAUACGAAGGGUGCAAGCGUUAAUCGGAAUUACUGGGCGUAAAGCGCGCGUAGGUGGUUCAGCAAGUUGGAUGUGAAAUCCCCGGGCUCAACCUGGGAACUGCAUCCAAAACUACUGAGCUAGAGUACGGUAGAGGGUGGUGGAAUUUCCUGUGUAGCGGUGAAAUGCGUAGAUAUAGGAAGGAACACCAGUGGCGAAGGCGACCACCUGGACUGAUACUGACACUGAGGUGCGAAAGCGUGGGGAGCAAACAGGAUUAGAUACC